rnacentral:rRNA from 1 species
CACGGGGAGGCAGUGACAAGAAAUAACAACUCUAGGAUUUCUUAGAAGUGUAAUGAGGAUAAUUUACAAACCUUACCGAAUGCAAUUGGAGGGCAAGUCUGGUGCCAGCAGCCGCGGUAAUUCCAGCUCCAAUAGCGUAUAUUAAAGUUGUUGCAGUUAAAAAGCUCGUAGUUGAAGUUCUGAUUGCUCAGGUUUCCAGCCUUAGGCGGAGAUACUGACAGUCAUCCGCUUGCAAACAUAUGUUCGAUCUUCACCGGUUGGCUAUGUGAGUAAGCACUUUACCUUGAGAAAAACAGAGUGUUCCAGGCAGGUUUGUCCGGGAUGCAUUAGCAUGGAAUAAUAGAACAUGACUGAAGUCGAUUUAUUGGUUUAAGGCUUUAGUAAUGAUUAAUAGGAACAGUCGGGGCAUUCGUACUCAGCAGUCAGAGGUGAAAUUCUAAGAUUUGCUGAAGACGAACUAAUGCGAAAGCAUUUGCCAAGGAUGUUUUCAUUAAUCAAGAACGAAAGUUAGGGGAUC